GAGGCUUAACACAUGCAAGUCGAGGGGCAGCAUGGUCUUAUCUUGCUAAGACUGAUGGCGACCGGCGCACGGGUGAGUAACACGUAUCCAACCUGCCGUCUACUCUUGGACAGCCUUCUGAAAGGAAGAUUAAUACAAGAUGGCAUCAUGAGUCCGCAUGUUCACAUGAUUAAAGGUAUUCCGGUAGACGAUGGGGAUGCGUUCCAUUAGAUAGUAGGCGGGGUAACGGCCCACCUAGUCUUCGAUGGAUAGGGGUUCUGAGAGGAAGGUCCCCCACAUUGGAACUGAGACACGGUCCAAACUCCUACGGGAGGCAGCAGUGAGGAAUAUUGGUCAAUGGGCGAGAGCCUGAACCAGCCAAGUAGCGUGAAGGAUGACUGCCCUAUGGGUUGUAAACUUCUUUUAUAAAGGAAUAAAGUCGGGUAUGGAUACCCGUUUGCAUGUACUUUAUGAAUAAGGAUCGGCUAACUCCGUGCCAGCAGCCGCGGUAAUACGGAGGAUCCGAGCGUUAUCCGGAUUUAUUGGGUUUAAAGGGAGCGUAGAUGGAUGUCUAAGUCAGUUGUGAAAGUUUGCGGCUCAACCGUAAAAUUGCAGUUGAUACUGGAUAUCUUGAGUGCAGUUGAGGCAGGCGGAAUUCGUGGUGUAGCGGUGAAAUGCUUAGAUAUCACGAAGAACUCCGAUUGCGAAGGCAGCCUGCUAAGCUGCAACUGACAUUGAGGCUCGAAAGUGUGGGUAUCAAACAGGAUUAGAUACCCUGGUAGUCCACACGGUAAACGAUGAAUACUCGCUGUUUGCGAUAUACUGCAAGCGGCCAAGCGAAAGCGUUAAGUAUUCCACCUGGGGAGUACGCCGGCAACGGUGAAACUCAAAGGAAUUGACGGGGGCCCGCACAAGCGGAGGAACAUGUGGUUUAAUUCGAUGAUACGCGAGGAACCUUACCCGGGCUUAAAUUGCAGAUGAAUUACGGUGAAAGCCGUAAGCCGCAAGGCAUCUGUGAAGGUGCUGCAUGGUUGUCGUCAGCUCGUGCCGUGAGGUGUCGGCUUAAGUGCCAUAACGAGCGCAACCCUUGUUGUCAGUUACUAACAGGUUCCGCUGAGGACUCUGACAAGACUGCCAUCGUAAGAUGUGAGGAAGGUGGGGAUGACGUCAAAUCAGCACGGCCCUUACGUCCGGGGCUACACACGUGUUACAAUGGGGGGUACAGAGGGCCGCUACCACGCGAGUGGAUGCCAAUCCCCAAAACCUCUCUCAGUUCGGACUGGAGUCUGCAACCCGACUCCACGAAGCUGGAUUCGCUAGUAAUCGCGCAUCAGCCACGGCGCGGUGAAUACGUUCCCGGGCCUUGUACACACCGCCCGUCAAGCCAUGGGAGCCGGGGGUACCUGAAGUGCGUAACCGCGAGGAGCGCCCUAGGGUAAAACUGGUGACUGGGG
rnacentral:rRNA from 1 species